UACGUAGGGGGCAAGCGUUGUCCGGAUUUAUUGGGCGUAAAGAGCGUGUAGGCGGCUAGGUAGGUCCGUUGUGAAAACUCGAGGCUCAACCUCGAGACGCCGAUGGAAACCAUCUGGCUAGAGUCCGGAAGAGGAGAGUGGAAUUCCUAGUGUAGAGGUGAAAUUCGUAGAUAUUAGGAAGAACACCAGUGGCGAAGGCGGCUCACUGGUCCGGUACUGACGCUGAGGUGCGAAAGCGUGGGGAGCAAACAGG
rnacentral:rRNA from 1 species